AUCUUACUCCUAUUUCGAUCCAACCUAAUCUCCGGCGCCCACGAUGAGACGACCUGACAGACGUCAAACGCGUGAAGUUGGUAUUAGCGCUACGUUUUCUGAACGUUUGACUUCUGGGAAGACUUCUCCGUGAAUAAGAAGAAGAUGUGGAGUUUAAUCCAGCACUCUGUUCCACUGCGGGUCGAUAGAUCAACUGUAACGUCUUCUAUGAGAAACGAUCACUGUCACGUUUCCAAGAUCACACUCGGAAAUGAUUUGAAAUUAUUUUUGUAAAGCAUCUGUUGAGAAGAAA